rnacentral:rRNA from 1 species
GAUGAACGCUGGCGGUAUGCCUUACACAUGCAAGUCGAACGGGAAUUAGCUUCGGUUAAUUCUAGUGGCGGACGGGUGAGUAACACGUGAGAAUUCGCCUUUAGGAGGGGGAUAACGAGUGGAAACAUUCGCUAAAACCCCAUAUGCCCCAGGGUGAAAAAGAGGUUAAUAGUAAAACUGAAUAACCUCUGCCUGAAGAGAAGCUCGCGGCUGAUUAGCUAGUUGGUAGGGUAAUGGCCUACCAAGGCGACGAUCAGUAGCUGGUCUGAGAGGACGAUCAGCCACACUGGAACUGAGACACGGUCCAGACUCCUACGGGAGGCAGCAGUGAGGAAUUUUCUGCAAUGGGCGAAAGCCUGACAGAGCAAUACCGCGUGAGGGAUGAAGACUUACUGAGUUGUAAACCUCGGUGCCUUAAGGAAGAAGAUCUGACGGUACUUAAGGUGGAAAGCAUCGGCUAACUCCGUGCCAGCCGCCGCGGUAACAC